UACGUAGGGACCGAGCGUUGUCCGGAAUCAUUGGGCGUAAAGAGCGUGUAGGCGGCCUUUUAAGUCCUGCGUGAAAUCCUGCGGCUCAACCGCAGACGGUCGUGGGAAACUGGAAGGCUAGAGUGCGGGAGAGGAGACUGGAAUUCCUGGUGUAGCGGUGAAAUGCGCAGAUAUCAGGAAGAACCACCCGUGGCUAAGGCGGCUCUCUAGUACGGUACUGACGCUGAGACGCGAAAGCGUGGGGAGCGAACAGG
rnacentral:rRNA from 1 species